UGGGGAAUUUUGGACAAUGGGCGCAAGCCUGAUCCAGCCAUGCCGCGUGUCUGAAGAAGGCCUUCGGGUUGUAAAGGACUUUUGUCAGGGAAGAAAAGGCUGUCGCUAAUACCGACAGUUGAUGACGGUACCUGAAGAAUAAGCACCGGCUAACUACGUGCCAGCAGCCGCGGUAAUACGUAGGGUGCGAGCGUUAAUCGGAAUUACUGGGCGUAAAGCGAGCGCAGACGGUUACUUAAGCAGGAUGUGAAAUCCCCGGGCUCAACCUGGGAACUGCGUUCUGAACUGGGUGACUAGAGUGUGUCAGAGGGAGGUAGAAUUCCACGUGUAGCAGUGAAAUGCGUAGAGAUGUGGAGGAAUACCGAUGGCGAAGGCAGCCUCCUGGGAUAACACUGACGUUCAUGCUCGAAAGCGUGGGUAGCAAACA
rnacentral:rRNA from 1 species